ensembl:lncRNA
ACAGUCUGGAGAAAUUGGACAAAAUUACAGCAGGAGUGGAGGAGAUUCUGAGAGCUGGAGGCUUCUUUCUGAAACCAUGGGUCCGGUCAGGUCAAAGUGGGAGGCAGAAAACAGCAGGUGAGGCAGUGGGACGGAGUAAGACCAUUAUUCUGCCAAAUCAGAUGAGGGAUGAAGACAACAAAGCCCUGGGAGUUGGAUAUCAAGUGGAGGAGGACAAACUGUACAUGUUGACCUCAGUCAACUUUUCAAAAAGGAAAAAGAAGAUGAGGAUGGGAAAGGAUCUUCACAAGGAGGAAGUGAGACCUGGAACACCUGACCCACUAACUAGAAGGGAGCUGCUAAGCCAGGUAGCUGGACUCUAUGACCCGAUCGGCUUAGUGACACCUGCCAAACAGAAGGGGGCGAUCCUUGUAAGGAAGGCAUUCCAGGAAGCAGGGGGUGGAAAGCUGACUCGAGAGACCUGGGAUAAACCACUUUCAGAAGGCCUCAGAGGAGAAGCUAUUAAGCUGUUUGAAGGAUACGUUGAGCUGGGACAAAUUAAAUUCCACCGAAGCCUUACACCAGCUGACUGGAAAGGGAAGCCAUGGGGAAUCACCUUCUCAGAUGGGAGCGACAAAACCUAUGGAGCUGUAAUGUAUUUGAGGUGGAAGACAAGGCAAGGAAUUGAUGUCCGUUUCGUUGAAUCUAAAGCCAAGCUGACGCCACUAGAUCAGAAAGGGGAUGCAGUCAAAGCUGAGAUGUGUGGCGCAGUCUUUGCAUCGAGGCUCAAGAAAUACUUUGAGAAGCAUGGUGGAAUGGAGAUAGAGCGGUGGAUUCAUCUGGUAGACAGUCAAACAGUCCUCGGAGCCAUUCAAAGAGACAGCUAUGGCUACCAAACCUUUUUUGCAAACCGUGUUGGUGAGAUCCAGAAAUCUGGGCCAGUUGAAGACUGGUGGUGGAUCCCUGGAGAACUUAAUGUGGCUGACAUCAUGACGAGAGGGGGUGCUCCUGAAGAAAUAAAGGAGAAUUCCACAUGGCAAAAUGGACCAGAGUUCCUAAAGUGGCCAGUGGAGGAGUGGCCCAUAAAGUCAGCUGGAGAGGUUGCUGCUCACAGUAGGGAAAGUGUGAACAAGCUUCAGAGAAAGGCCUUCACAACAGCAGUAACCAGAGCCCAGACAAAAAUAGAAGUAGAGGAUCUGCUGACCUCGCAGACAAGGUUGAAAGAGGGGAUUCAGGAGGAAGUGGGCCCACCUACUGUUGCAGGAAGGGCACCUGUCGGCUGGGGGAUCAAGAAUCUCGUGAAGGUGGAGAGAUACAGUAGCUUGUCCAGGCUGGUCAACAUCGUUGCCUGGGUGCGGCGAGCUGCUAAAAGGUGGCUUGAGAUAAAGGCAAAAGGCAGAGGACAAACAAAGGCCAAGAAAACUGUCUUGACUGUGCAGGAGCGCGAAGAUGCACUCAGAGACCUGUUUCAUGCUGCACAGGAGGCUGUAACUUUUCCACAAACUGCAUUGAACCGACUGGCAGUGUAUAGAGAGGAACGCUCUGGACUCUUAGUCUGUGGAGGCAGGAUUCAGAUGUUCAUUGAAAGCAAAACCGCUGUGCCAAUUAUACCACACGAAGCAUGGUUGUCCACACUGUUGGCACAAGAAGCCCACAAAGCGAACCAUGAAGGUGUAGCAGGAACCCUUCUCAGGAUGAGGAAAAGAGCCUGGGUGGUAAAAGGUCGAAGAAUCGCCAAGAAAGUGGUGGACAGCUGUGUGGCCUGCAGGAAAGCUACAGCGAGGAAAUGUCGACAGAUCAUGAGUGACCUUCCACCUGAGAGAACAAGCCUGGCCAAACCAUUUGAAUACACAACCAUGGACUUAUUCGGGCCUUACAAGGUAAAAGAUGAAGUAAGGAAGAGAGUCAAACUCAAAGUCUGGGGGAUUGUGUUCUGUUGUAUGGCUUCCAGAGCCAUACACACCGAUGUUGUCAGCGACCAAUCAUCCGAAGGGUUUCUUCUUGCCUAUCAGAGGUUUGCUGCCCUCAGGGGACACCCCAGGAAAUUGUGGUCAGACCCUGGUACAAAUUUUGUGGGGGC